rnacentral:rRNA from 1 species
AUGAACGCUGGCGGCGUGCCUCAUACCUGCAAGUCGAGCGAACGGACGAGAAGCUUGCUUCUCUGAUGUUAGCGGCGGACGGGUGAGUAACACGUGGAUAACCUACCUAUAAGACUGGGAUAAUUUCGGGAAACCGGAGCUAAUACCGGAUAAUAUUUUGAACCGCAUGGUUCAAAAGUGAAAGACGGUCUUGCUGUCACUUAUAGAUGGAUCCGCGCUGCAUUAGCUAGUUGGUAAGGUAACGGCUUACCAAGGCAACGACGCAUAGCCGACCUGAGAGGGUGAUCGGCCACACUGGAACUGAGACACGGUCCAGACUCCUACGGGAGGCAGCAGUAGGGAAUCUUCCGCAAUGGGCGAAAGCCUGACGGAGCAACGCCGCGUGAGUGAUGAAGGUCUUCGGAUCGUAAAACUCUGUUAUUAGGGAAGAACAUAUGUGUAAGUAACUGUGCACAUCUUGACGGUACCUAAUCAGAAAGCCACGGCUAACUACGUG